rnacentral:ncRNA from 12 species
GCUCCAAACCCGAACUGUACCUUAUAUGGGUCGCGUGCUGUAAGGCUAGGAUUUGGAAUUUUU